rnacentral:lncRNA from 1 species
CAUAUUAAAAAGUCUCUUGGAUACUUCGAAGUGCACUAUGUGGCUUUGCUCACUAUGCAACUCUUAUAGGUGAGUGAUCAUAAUCUUAACAGUGGGCAUAUGCUUAUGCUGGCUCUGCAACUCAUUUGACAUGGAAGCCAGCACAUAGCACUUAAUCCGACUAUCUUCAUUCGUCCACUUUUUAUAUGUUGUUCUUUACUCAGUUGUAGGAUGGUUUGGUAACACUAAAGGUUCCUGAUCAAGUACAUGACCUAAUUUUUUAAAAGUCAGGAUAAUCUUGAAAUUUUUAAGUCAGUCUUUAAAAUUGAUUCUAAUCAAACGAUUGGACUCAAGGAUACGGGCUAGAGGGUUUGAAGCUGGCAUGAUUUAACUACGAGAGUAGAGAUUCAAGUUAGACUUUUG